UGGUGGUGGGGGAUGAUUUUCUUUGCUGGCUUUUUGGGUUUUCUCCUGGUCUUCGGAGCAUGAGCCCGUAUCCCAUGGUGACCUGACCCUGAAGCCCCAGCCCCUCAGCUGCAGACCCCCCACCCUGAGAAAUCUUAGCUCGCCCCCGCCCUGACCGUCACCCUUCUACAUCCCUCUUCUCUAGUAACCUCGCUAGCACCCGCUACAGUAAACUGCCGGCCGAGGAACACCCCACCCUCCUCGGGCUGCUGCCCCCGGGGCAAAGCUUCGGGAAGACCAGCCGAAAAAUCAAGCAAGAACAACACCCCCUUUCCUGCUGAAAGGGCCCCAGACUCGCGCGAAAGGGCCCCGACUACUGAGAAGCCCCUCCCGCCCUUGCCUCAUCUUUCCGACUUCCCUGCUUGCCACGUCUCCUUUCCUUCCUAGCAAGAAACCGAGUGUGGAACCCUCAUCCAUUUCCAGCUGACAGCAGAGCCUGGUCUGUGAGUCCUUGACACCCACACACCCUCUUUCACCACCGCGGGGAACAUCAGAGAUCUCGGUGGGGGGGAAGGGGCGGGCAGCCCAACAGGCGCCGCUGGACACCCUCCUUCGCGUCCCCAAGCCAGCGUAGAACCAGUGCAGGCACUUACCUAGCUUCCCCAUAGUCACCUUAUGCUGUGGCUCCGUCUCUCACACCCACAGACGUGCUUUUCCAAGCCUGAGCACGCUCUCGGGGUCAGCUGGGUGGGUGGGCACAGCAGGCUGAGGUCAUACGAAGGGGUGGGAGGUCCCUGUGAGGUGCGGAAAGGAACUGUGUCCUGGACACCUUGUAGCGCCAGAGCCAGCCCAGCACUUCACUUCAAGGAGCUGCAAUGUGCACACAGUAGGUUCUUGAGAAAUGCCGAGUCCACCCCUGAACAAAGCCUCAUUCCCAAUUCAAGCGGGGGAGGGGCGCUUUGGGAGGUAAAGGAGCAGGAGCAGAAAGGGUAGUGUCAAGUCACCCGAGCCUGGGAGCAGCCGGGGAGGGGCUGGGCCCUGGAACGCCUAGGGCAGAGAAGCGCCCAGAGUGCUGAGGAAGCCUGGUUAGUAAGCAGGAAAAACCGAGCUUUAAACAGUGGCUUAGGGGGCUCCUCCUGCACUAUACACGGUGCCCGACCUUUCCCAGACCACGCUGCUGAAGCACUGACCCAGGCAGCUUUUACGGUAACUAAGGCUGCCAGCUUCUGUGGCUGGGGAGUAGCCUGCUUCCCAAGAAAAAAAAAAAAAAAAAAAAGACAGUUAAUUUGCCUCCAGAACUACCCCGAAGCCCCCACACUGCCUAGCUGAUCUGCAGGACAUGGUUUACCAAGGCUGUGCUAAACCGUGGUGCACAAACUUGCCAAAGUGCCAAAUUCUCUUAGGACCACUACCCUUACUUCUGCUUCCCAUCCUUAGGGAAGGCAGAAUCCCAAAUCUUGGAAAGUAGGACACUGAAGAACUUCUCCCUUCCCUGAGCCUCCCAAGGCAAAGAAUCCCAGCAAUCCUCCCCCAAACACAUAGGCCAGCUAGCUCUACUGUCCAUCUCACAAAAUUAGCUCAUCUCCUCGGCCAAGUCCAUUAUUAGUCUCAUGGUAGAUCUCAGAUCUCAUCAGAUCGGGAGUGGAGAGCACCUAUGGCCACUGAAGCUUCGGAAGGUUGAAGCAGGGGAGGGGAUGAGACAGCCUCUGACAUAGCUGCUUUGUCUCUGAUAAUGGGGGGAUUGGGACUGAGAAUGAGGAAAGAACUGUAACUGGUCACAGGGAAGGAGACUCAAGUGGCAGGCCACUUUCAGCUUGGGAACUGACAGCAACAUUGGUGGAGUGGGCUUGCUUCUCAUUGGCACCUUUAGUCAAAACCCUGUGGUCCUAGUCUGAGAGUGAAGAGUUGACAUAUUUGGGAACCAGGUAGGAGGGAAGAGAGAAUCCUGACUGUGGAGGAGGCAAAGCCCCCAGGAGCUACUUAGCCCAGCCUGCUCAUAGCCAAAGGACUAUGUCUUCAGAGCAUUCCCCGUGGGUGGCUGGCUCAUUUGCCCCAGGAGGCUCAGGCUCAGUGGGCUCAUGGCUGGGGGAAAGGGGAGCAGCACAGGCUUGCUAAAGGCACUCGGUGUUCUUCCUUUAGCAGCCCAUUGAUCUCCCAGGUCCCCUUCUCUCUUGCUUUUUAAAGCUGGUCAACAAGCCAGCCAAGAGGAGGCCAGGGUUAUUUUACAGGCUGCUUGUACCCCAAAGGGACCUUUUGGCCUCCUAUCCUUUCACCCCAUUUUCAGGAACCUCUGCAUCUGGACCAUCUUCCUUUCCAAUCUAGAGCCUUUCUUUCCACUUCUGGAAAAGGCUCAGCUCCCAUAGUUUCUUCAGUCUUUCUUUAGUGCAUGCUGCUCCCAUCCCACUCCACCAGAACAGCUGUGCCAGUGCCUGGGGGCUGUCACCUUUCCUCUCUCUCUGGCCAAAAAAGGGUUUGUCAUUUGGUCUAGAAAGAUGAAUGGAUCCAUCAGGUCUCCACGACUCUUCCUCCACACCCAACCUCUAGCAGAGGCUUGCUGUCUACCUAGAUACCUCCAGACCCUUCAGUAAGGAUUAGCUGCCUUGGAGCAGGAGAGCCGAGGAGAUGGAUGCCUGGAGGAGAACAUCCAGGGCCAGAGAGAACAUGCUGCACACCCCUCCCCCACCAAGUACAACCAGACUGACAGCAGGGACAGACUGGCUGCUCUGUCAUCCUCAGUUCAGCCUCGAGGCACCUCCCCCCAACUGCCGCUGCAGUCCCAGCAGACCGCCUGCCCUGAGAUCCAGCCACCUGGCACGGGCAAGACACCCAAGCCCGCAGCGCAGUUUCUGUGAAGGUGGCACCGACCACUUUGACCUACCUGUUCAAGUCUCUCCUUUCCCGGUGUGGGCAGGCAGCCCUCCUCUACCUCUCCUCAGCGUCCAAAUUCCAGGUCCCAGAACACUGAGCAACCUGGCCCUAAACUCCACCGUACAAGAUUAAAGACUGGCUCUCUUGUGGAGGGACACCUUGGCAUGGAUUAAAUUCGAUGCCAGUACUUGCCCCCCUCUCCGUAAAAUGAAGCCCCCAGCGGUGGGGAAAUAAAACUGGUCUUUUAUAAUUCU